rnacentral:rRNA from 1 species
GGUGAACGCUGGCGGUAGGCCUAACACAUGCAAGUCGAACGGCAGCACAGUAAGAGCUUGCUCUUACGGGUGGCGAGUGGCGGACGGGUGAGGAAUACAUCGGAAUCUACUUUUUCGUGGGGGAUAACGUAGGGAAACUUACGCUAAUACCGCAUACGACCUACGGGUGAAAGCAGGGGAUCUUCGGACCUUGCGCGAUUGAAUGAGCCGAUGUCGGAUUAGCUAGUUGGCGGGGUAAAGGCCCACCAAGGCGACGAUCCGUAGCUGGUCUGAGAGGAUGAUCAGCCACACUGGAACUGAGACACGGUCCAGACUCCUACGGGAGGCAGCAGUGGGGAAUAUUGGACAAUGGGCGCAAGCCUGAUCCAGCCAUACCGCGUGGGUGAAGAAGGCCUUCGGGUUUUAAAGCCCUUUUGUUGGGAAAGAAAAGCAGCAGGUUAAUACCCCGCUGUUCUGACGGUACCCAAAGAAUAAGCACCGGCUAACUUCGUG